CUAGAUUUAUUUCUUAUAACCAAAUUUAAAAUAAAAUAACAAUUAUAAAUUAAUAUAAAUUUUAUAGUAAAAAAAUUGCAGAUAAUAUUUUAAGUUUUAACAAAUCAAAAACUGUAAUUUAUUGUGCUUUUUGAGUUCUUUGAUUUAUUCAUGACCUAACCUAACCGCACCUGAUGGUUUAUCAGCGAAUAGACCACCACCUGGCCGCUGCAAUUUACAAGAAGGUUUGUGGACAAAGCUUGUUAAUGUACAUACAAGACGUUAUGAUAUUAGUCGAUGUACAAUAACUACAUGCAAGUGUGACUUAACAUAUGGUUCACGUCUCGUUUUACAGUUCAUUUUCAAUUAAACAACGAAAAAUACGUCGAUUUAAACCGUGAUGGUAAAACAGCUAUAUAGUAUAUUAAAUUGUUAAUUUAUGUAUAUGUACACCUAUUAUUUAAAUAUAAAAUGUAAAUGUUAAUAUCAUCA